rnacentral:rRNA from 1 species
UACGGAGGGAGCUAGCGUUAUUCGGAAUUACUGGGCGUAAAGCGCACGUAGGCGGCUUUGUAAGUAAGAGGUGAAAGCCCAGAGCUCAACUCUGGAAUUGCCUUUUAGACUGCAUCGCUUGAAUCAUGGAGAGGUCAGUGGAAUUCCGAGUGUAGAGGUGAAAUUCGUAGAUAUUCGGAAGAACACCAGUGGCGAAGGCGGCUGACUGGACAUGUAUUGACGCUGAGGUGCGAAAGCGUGGGGAGCGAAACAGG